rnacentral:rRNA from 1 species
AGUGAACGCUGGCGGUAGGCCUAACACAUGCAAGUCGAACGGCAGCACAGUAAGAGCUUGCUCUUACGGGUGGCGAGUGGCGGACGGGUGAGGAAUACAUCGGAAUCUACUUUUUCGUGGGGGAUAACGUAGGGAAACUUACGCUAAUACCGCAUACGACCUACGGGUGAAAGCAGGGGAUCUUCGGACCUUGCGCGAUUGAAUGAGCCGAUGUCGGAUUAGCUAGUUGGCGGGGUAAAGGCCCACCAAGGCGACGAUCCGUAGCUGGUCUGAGAGGAUGAUCAGCCACACUGGAACUGAGACACGGUCCAGACUCCUACGGGAGGCAGCAGUGGGGAAUAUUGGACAAUGGGCGCAAGCCUGAUCCAGCCAUACCGCGUGGGUGAAGAAGGCCUUCGGGUUGUAAAGCCCUUUUGUUGGGAAAGAAAAGCAGCAGGUUAAGACCCCGCUGUUCUGACGGGACCCAAAGAAUAAGCACCGGCUAACUGCGG